rnacentral:rRNA from 1 species
AUGCUGAAAGAGGAGGAUUUAGCAGUAAGCGGAAAGUAGAGCGUCCCGCUGAAAAUGGCCCUGAAGCGCGCACACACCGCCCGUCACUCUCCCCAAAAAAAUGCCACAAUAUUAAAUAAAACCUGAUAAUAGAGAGGGGAGGCAAGUCGUAACAUGGUAAGUGUACUGGAAGGUGCACUUGGAAAAAUC